UACAGGGGGGGCAAGCGUUGUUCGGAAUUACUGGGCGUAAAGGGUUUGUAGGUGGCUUGCUUAGUCAGACGUGAAAUCCCUCAGCUUAACUGGGGAACUGCGUCUGAUACUGGCGAGCUUGAGUGCAGGAGAGGAACGCGGAAUUCCAGGUGUAGCGGUGAAAUGCGUAGAUAUCGUAAGGAAGACCAGUGGCGAAGGCGGGUCUCUGGACAGUUCCUGACGCUGAGGCACGAAGGCCAGGGGGAGCAAAACGGG
rnacentral:rRNA from 1 species